UACGGGGGGGGCAAGCGUUGUUCGGAAUUACUGGGCGUAAAGGGCGCGUAGGCGGCCUGUUAAGUCACACGUGAAAUCCCUCGGCUCAACCGGGGAACUGCGUGUGAUACUGGCGGGCUUGAAUUCGGGAGAGGGAUGUGGAAUUCCAGGUGUAGCGGUGAAAUGCGUAGAUAUCUGGAGGAACACCAAUUGCGAAGGCAGCUCGCUGGGACGUUACUGACGCUGAGACGCGAAAGCGUGGGGAGCAAACAGG
rnacentral:rRNA from 1 species